UACGGGGGGGGCAAGCGUUGUUCGGAUUUACUGGGCGUAAAGGGCGCGUAGGCGGCUCAACAAGUCACUUGUGAAAUCCCCGGGCUUAACCUGGGAAUGGCAUUUGGGACUGCAAGGCUCGAGUGCGGCAGAGGAGACUGGAAUUCCUGGUGUAGCAGUGAAAUGCGUAGAUAUCAGGAGGAACACCGAUGGCGAAGGCAGGUCUCUGGGCUGACACUGACGCUCAUGCACGAAAGCGUGGGGAGCAAACAGG
rnacentral:rRNA from 1 species